GACGAACCGUGCGAACGUUGUUCGGAAUCACUGGGCUUAAAGGGCGCGUAGGCGGGCAAUCAAGUCUGAGGUGAAAUCCUCCAGCUUAACUGGAGAAGUGCCCUGGAUACUGAUUGCCUCGAGGAUGGUAGGGGCAUCUGGAACUAGCGGUGGAGCGGUGAAAUGCGUUGAUAUCGCUAGGAACUCCGGUGGCGAAGGCGAGGUGCUGGACCAUUUCUGACGCUGAGGCGCGAAAGCCAGGGAGCGAACGGG
rnacentral:rRNA from 1 species